rnacentral:tRNA from 1 species
AAUGGGUUGGCAGAGCUAUGCAUCUGAUUUAGAAUCAGCCCACAGGAUGUUUCCUACCCAUUA